GUUGGCCAUGUUUAAAAAAGGGAUUACUGGAAAAGACAGUGAAAUGAUGACAGGAAAACAUCUUGGACCAGAGCCAAAAAAAAAAAAAAAAAAAAAUCGAGGCAAAUCAAGUCCGCAGCUUGGAGAAAACACCCAUCGCUCCUGUCAGAAGCUCCCACAGGAACUGCCUGGUGCUCCUCAGCCAAAAGUGGAAUAUUGUGUGGGCACCAGGGGUCAGGACCAGGGUCCACCAGAGUAGCCAGAGGAAGGAACCAUGGUAUGCCAGAUGACACGGUUAUGUCACACUUUGAGAAAACAAAACAAAACAUUAAAAACCAACCUUUCCUUUCCUUUUAACUGGAGCUCCUGCUUGCUCAAAACAGCUUCUGUCUAUUCAAAGCAACCCCUAAAUGUACCUUCUGAUAACAGGAGCUGCUGAUUUUGUUUGUCUCCAGGAAACUGCUGCAAUGCUACAGAAAAAUGCUAGGAAAAGGAGGCUGAGGAAAUUCAGUUUUCUGAUGUCUGGGCGCUAGGCAAACUGUGCCAGGUGACUGUCUUUGCUAUUUGGACCGCCAUGUGGGAGCGAGUUUGGGAUUCCUUUUCCCUCGUCACCCAGCUGUGGCUUGAUACCUCAGUACAUUGCAAGUUUCCUGAGCAGGAGACAUACAUCCUGCAGAAGUGUGCCUUGGAGACUCAAAGGAGGAGAAAUUAAGCCAGUUGUGGAUGACUCGGAUAUCUUACACUGCAUGUCUUCAGCAUUCAUAGAGACCUAUGUCUGUAGGGUCUGUGUGUGUGUGUGUGUGUGUGUGUGUGUGCAUGUGACAGCAUCAUGUGGAGUGUGUGCUCACAUGUGUAUGGCUCUGUGGUCUGUGUGUCUUUAGAGAGGAAGGCAGAGAGUGAAGUCAGAGCAGACGGAAUGUUGGGGCAUUUAGGUAAUUCAUGCAGAGACUGUUCAACGCUGCAAGGCAGACCGCCACCCAUUCCUGGACUCUGCUGCUCUGGAGGGCCUGUACGGACCUGAUCUGAAUGUUAAAUGCAGGAGAUGAAAUUAGCAUACUAACCAAGGAUGUCAACCCCUCCCUGCAAUCAGUAAAUGGCCGUCUCCUCUCUUUAAAGCCGGCACUGCUAUGCGUGCCAGCCACUUAACCAUGUCCUCCAUCAGGUCCCUUUUUGUGUUUGUUUUUUUGUUUUUGUUUUUUGAUGAAAGACUGGAAAUUCAUUAAUGAGGAGGGAAGGAAGGGCUUCAAGGGGCUCUAAUGAAAACAAAUGAUCCUCUUUAAAUCUCAUGUCGGCCAAAGCCGAGGUUGUGGGGGUGGGGGGGUGGUGGUGUUGCUUUCUGUUCUGGGGCUGGAGAAUAGGAAAUUCCACAGACAACAGACCACUUGACAAGAGCCCAAGAAUGCACUGCUUGGGAAUUUCUUCUGUGUCACAAAGACCGGCCAUGGCCAGUAAGUCUGUGUUAAUAAAACUGAGAAUGAGCUUUAUCUUCUGAACUGUAAAGUGUGGUCUACCAGAUGCCUUUGCAUGCCGUC
ensembl:lncRNA